rnacentral:sRNA from 1 species
AGGGUUCGAUUCGAGCGCAGCGAGAAAGCGUUGCCGCAGGCAACGGCCCGAAGGGCGAAGCGCGCAGCGCUGAGUAAUCUCUCCCCCACCACCA